CUGGAGGACGUCACGUGGGAGACAGCGCCAGGGAACGCGGUAUUAGAAUUCUUCUGGAAAGUGAGACAAGUCCCAUUAAAACUGAGGGAAGUGCAGACACGUCUGUGAUGUGUAGCUCCUCCCGUCUGUGGGCACAAGAACCUGCAUGUUGGAGGAAGAGGAGAACUUAGACACACCCUGAGUCAUCUCCGUGCACACAGGAGCUGGAGGCGCAGAGAGGAACCAGCUCCAGCCUGGCUGAGAUGUCUUUGUACUCCAAGAUCAGCUGUGGACUCACAACCCUUUGAUGAUGGAGCCACUUCCCCGCAGGAAAACACCAGCACCUACAAUCCAUGCAGGCCUCAGCUCCUGGCCCCCCUUCCAUGGCCUCUCUCCCAGUUCUGAGAGAGGGCCCCCUGAAUUCCCACAGUUGACUUGGAGCUUGAAAUCUGGUCCCAAUGAUAUUUCUGGAAGGUGCCAUGGCUCCAGUGAAAGAAGCUACUUCCGGGCCUGGGGAUUUAGCUCAGCGGCAAAGCGCCUGCCUGGCAAGCGCAAGGUCGUGAGUUCGGUUCCCGGUACCAGAGAAAAACCAAAAAAAAAAAAAAAAAACAACAAAAAAAAACAAAAACAGAAAGAAGCUACUUCCAUGUCAGGUUAGACUCAUUUUUUUCCCGCUGAGUGUGAAACCUUGGCUAUGGCUGUUAACUCUACUGGCCUCAUUUCUUUAUUUGUUAAGUCAAGAUCACAAUGCCCGACAUGCAGGGGUUUCAGAAGGAUUAAAU
rnacentral:lncRNA from 1 species